GAGCCGGAACGCCAAUGUACUUUGAUUUCCCACGACCGAUACAGUCCCGACGAGUUUCAUUCAAGCUUCUUGGAGAUGUUACAGCAUUUGCAGAUGAACCUUCAGAACAAGAAGAUUCAGGAUUGAGAGCUCCGCUUGUGGCCACAGGUUCCAACAGAAUCAAGUUAUAUUAUUAUUGUGAUCCUUAUGAGCUCGGAAAAUGGGCAAGCCUUUCUGGAGUUUGAUCGUUAUUUAUAUGUCAGAGAAAGGGUUUUGGGUUUGGAUAAUAACAGAUAUUAUUAUUGUAUAAUAGAUAGGUUUAGAAAAAUUGAAGAACCAAGUAAGUUAUUAGAAAAAUGGGCUCCACCUGUAAUACAACGCUGCACCACAUACAUCGUUAUUGAAUUUUUUAUUUAAAAAUUAAUUGGCCUUUGGAUCGCACUCAAAAGUAAUCCAACGGAUUAUAUUUUUUUUGGCUAAUGUUGGCUACCGGAAGUAUCAGUUGCGAUUGAUUGAGAUGUGGUAUAAAUAAGAUAUUUUUUUUACCCGUUCUCUUUUCAUCUGUCUCUAAAGCUCAGGCAAUUGGUAUCCCCUUUUAAUGAAAAAAUUGAUGGUGUGGUGAGACUGGAAGUUGGUCGGCUUUCUCUGAAUCUCUUUCUCAAAUCCAAAAUUACAAAUUGACCGCCCAAGCACCAGCACUAAAUAGUAUAAUUUCAACGAAGAAUCAGCUCAAUCAACGAAGGAUCAGCCUCAAUCAACGCCCAGAACAAAAAUGUAGUUAAAGAAAUUUUCACCAGCAGCUUAAAGAAAACUAAUGGUAUGAAUUUUCAUAUUACUGUUGUGUUAUUUACCGUGUUUCAAAUCUAUGGAUACCUUUAGAAUCGUGAUUAAAUUCUCUUUCUAUAAGGUAAUUUCUUAAUUAGUUUGAAAAUUUUUCCUAUUGUCUUAUGUCUUUUUGAAGUCUGCAUUUUAAACAGAUCAAUUUAUUCUCACAAAGAAACAAUCUCAACUAACGAGACUAUGUAAGGAGAUUUCUAAUUCAAAGAAACCUACCCGUAACAGGUACGUCUUACCAAAUUACCAUAUAUCCUUUAGAAUUGCGAGUUAAACCAUUGGUAUAAUUUUUUAAUAUAGAAGAAUUUAUUAAUUGAAGGGUAUAAUCUAAUAAGCUGUGUGGAGAUAUGCUGACCGAAUGGGGAAAGAAUUAACAUGUGUUUAUAUGAUAUUCAUAUGAAGAGAAUGAAAAAGAAAAAGUUUAAAACACAGCAAUAAAGUAUAUUGUUUAAAUAGGAAAGUAAAAUUUGGUAAAAGAAAUAGAAUGAAAUAAGUAAUUUUUUUUUAAAUGUUAUAGGUUUUAAUGGAUGGAUUUACAAUGUUUUACAUAGGAAAACAGAUGGACAAUCAGCUACGCAAGCGUAAACGAGAAUCAAUAAACUUACAAAAGAGUAGUACUUGUCUUCCGAAAGUAAACAAUGAAAAUGCAGUUCCUAAAUCUUCAACAUAUGGAUUUGUCUCUCACUUGUAAGUAACUAUAUUCAUUUAUUAUUCGACACACAUACUAGAUAACUACUAAUUCAAUGUCAUGCAGUUGCAACGAUGAAGAAGAGCUUUUGAGAAGUGAUAAUUUUAAUUUGUCUACCACUAUUGGGGUCAGUAUAUGUAUAGAUAUUUUUUUAAAUUAGGAUGUUCAUUAAUGGCAAGUCACAAAUUAGUAUUUUUUUAAAAUUAGUAUGAGAAGAGCUUUUGAGAAGUCACAUGUAAAAAUUUUUAAUCUUUAUUACUUUUGUGACAGUUGAGGAAACACAGUAAGAAAACCAACAGAGAACUUUCAGCAGAACAUAAGGCAAGUCACAAAAAGCAAUGUGAAAGGAUUGGUUGUGCAUAUGCAUAUUCGGAUAACAAUGAAUCAAAACAUGUUAAGGCAGAUAAGUUCACCUUGGAAACUAGGUGUGCGCCUGACCGAUUUUGUUCUCUUGUUGGUAACUUAUCGGAAGACAAGAAAAUGCAAUAAGAGAUAUAGGAUUUGGAAGCCUACUUGAAAUCCAAUGUGGUCGACUGAGGAGGCAAUUAUGUCGUUGGUUAGUGGAUCAAUUCAAACCUGAAUGCAACAUUAUUGAACUUCAUGGUCAAAAUUUGAAACUGUGCCACAGAACAUUUUCAGAUGUCAUGGGUGUAAAAGAUGGAGGUAUACCAAUACAAUUGGGUGGACCAAGUGAAAAUAUUGCUGAAUUACGAGAUAUUUUUCAAUCAACAGUCAAAGGGAUCAACAUCAAGACGCUUGAGGAUAUUAUAAAGCAAGAAGAUAAAACCAGCUGGAUUUUCAAGGUUUGUAAUAAAGUUGAUUUUGGCACAUUUAUGCAUACACCCAUUAUUAUAUUAAAUCAUGAAUAUCUGUUAUAUUUCUUUCAUAUUAUAUUCUAUUCUGACACCAUUUGUAUUUUUUCUAUAAUAUUUGCAUGCAUAAUUGUAUAAAACAUUUAAAGUUACUGUGAAAUAUGAGCACAUAUCAGCCAUUUAUCAAACUCAUUCAUGUUUGUUAUUGUUCAUUUUACAAAUAGUAGUUUUGAUAUGAGCAGGUUGCGUUUACUUUGUUUGCACUAGCCACGUUGUUAUGCCCAACAAGUGGUUAUAUAUCGCAUUUGUUCUUGCAUCCGUGCAACGAUGUUCUCAAUGUUAAAUCACUUAAUUGGGCUUCGUUUUGUUAUAAAUGGCUGGCAAAAUCCAUUGGCAAAUAUAAGAAUCGUGAAACUACAUAUGUCGGGGGAUGUCUUCUUUUCCUACAGGUAAGAUGAUUUUCAUAAUUGAAUUUUAGCAUUUUUCUGGCCAUGGAUGGCUGUUUAUACAGAUUUUCUUAACUAUAAUAUGUUUAUACAGAUUUUUUACCUCCAUAAUGUUGCAUACAACUGCAUUCAGCCUGAUGGGACCAAAACUCCUGUGACAUUCUGGAAAGAAUCAAUGGUGAAGAGGUUCAUGAAGUGGUUGAGAUCUCAGGGAGGGAUUGGAAGUAAUAAGGUAAAUUUUAUUGUAGAGUGCUUAUCAUUAUAAUUACCAUAAUAAUGUGUAAGAAAUGGCAUUAUCCUUAUUUUUUGAUAUCAUUUAUCUGCUCAAUUAAACAGAUUCAGAUGCGUACCACUGAUACCGGUGAAGCUUCUCUAUCAAAAGUUGUUAGACAUCUCAAUUUUGAAGAAAUAAUUCAGAAACAAAUACUUUCAAUCAGGGUACUGACAUUUAAGGUUGAUUAUCUAUCUGAUGCGAUAUCUGACCAGACAAAAAUGCUAAAAGAAUUGCUACAUCAAAGGCAAAUUAUGGACCGAGUUGCCCCUCAUGUCCAUCAUCCUACCACAGAUAACAUUAAAACUCCUUCCCACGAGUUUGUGUCUGCUCAAGAAAAUAAUGUUGGGGCUGAGUUUAUUGAAAUCUCAUCAAAUGAAAGUUCAGCCCGAGGUUAUGAUAAGAUAAACUCUCCUUAUGAUGGCUCCAGCUUAAACACAAAAGAACGACAACUAUAUCAAAUAUUGAGGACAUUAGAAAUGGCUAUGGAUUGUGAAAAGACAGAUGCAUUACCCUCAAAGAAAAUGGAAAUGUCCAAGGGAAAACAAGAACUGAUUCUUAAGGAUUCUAAGGUAUUAAAGUGUCUUUGUUACUAUUGUUUUUAUAUUUAUCAUAAUUGUAUGUUGUGACAUUACCUCAGAAUAUGUGAAUUUUAAUUUUUUCUCUUUUGUAGGAGCGUCUUGUGAUGAUACAAUCAACUGCAAAGGGAAUGCAUAUUCAAACUUCUAAAAAAAAGAAUGUCAAUCUCAAGUCUACCCAACCCCGAUUUUUGGCUGGUCCAUUUUCAGUUCCCACUCCAUUUACCGAGGAUGAAAAAAAGCUUAUUCUUUACCUUUUUGACGACAAGUUGGCUGAAAUGUAUGGUCUAGUAAUAAUGAAAUGUUUUUGUAAAUGGCUAGAUUGUUUGGAAUAUAGAUAUAAAUCUCUUAAUCUUGCUUUUAUUCAUUGUAAUAAUGUUGUUUUUUCAUGGUAAAGGGAUGUUGUCGUCCGUACAGAAUACAGCAGCAUAACACGGAGCAGUAUGCGUUCCCUCUUGCCGAGAGCAUGGAUUGAUGGUGAUGUAAUACUCUAUGCCUACUAUGUAUAAUAUUUAGGAUUCAUUCAAUACUAAUGAUGCCAUUAUUUUCAAUUAGUAUCUAUGUGCAUAUCUCUUAACUAAUGUUCCACUUUGGUCGCAACUGUUAAAAAAAAAAUUUCAGAUUAUUACUAUGUACGCAGAGUACAAGACUAUUGAAGAGGCCCAAAAGGAUAUCACCUCUCCUCGAUGUUGGUUCUUGCCGUCAUAUUAUUCCGUAAGAUAACCAGAAAUUAAAUAUUUUUAAUUCAAUCAUUAGUCUUUAAAUGAGAUCAUGCAGAUUGUCAACUAACAAAAUGUUUUUAUUCUUUUAAUUUUUGCCUCUUAAAUUUAAAGCAAGUUGUAUUGGGUGACUCAGGUGAUCUAAACCCCUAUCGUCGAGCUUCUAGGUUCCAAGAGCGCUACAUGCCCCAAUUGGAAACCUGUGAAAAGGUUUAGCGCAUAACAUGAAUUUUUUUUAAUGAACUUUUUGUGGUUUGUAUUUUUACAUAGUUCCUUGGUAUCUUUUUCAUUUUACUAACCUGAUAACAAAACAUUUUGCCAUUAAUUGUAUUUACUCUCCUACAACUGCAGAUUUAUGUGCCCAUACAUUGUGAAGCUCAUUGGUACAUGCUUGUUAUUGACAUUCUUCGUCAAACUGCUGAUAUUUGGGAUUCAUUGGAAUCUCUCAGUCAAAGAGAAAAAAUGAUUAAUCAGUCAUUGACAAUUGUAUGUUCUUUGGAGGAUUGACUACAUUUGAGCGUUAGUUGGAAUUUGAUUAAAUAACAUUCUAACUUUUGUUAACACUUAUUCUGGUUGAUGUUGGCAGCUCGCCUCACUGGAUUUUUUGCUACUUAGAGAGGCUCGACUUCGUUUUGGUUCAAAUUUCAAUUUUCUGCAUUUUCAACUUGGUCGUCAAACUGGUCUGCCACAACAGCCAAAUGAUUUUGAUUGUGGAUACUAUACCUUGAAAUAUAUGGACAAUCCCUCUAUUGUUGCUGACCAGUCUUAUCAGGUAUAUGCUUUUUUUUUUCAAUCUUGAACAUUGAUGAUUCUGAUAUUUAGUUCAUGAUCAAUGCUUUCUUCAGACCAUUUAUCAGUCAUUAUGUUUAAUGAUUCUGUAUUUAGAUUAAUAACAAUGAUAACAGAGGAGUACUACAAAGAAGUAAGAAAUAUUAAAGUUUUCUUUAUGAAGAGUACUUUUAAGGCAUAACUAGGAGUACUCGAUAAUAUUUUUUUUUCCUUUUAAGGAUGUAUUAAGCAAGCUGUUUUUAGAAGAUAUCUAGUUUUGAAAGCAAGACAUACUUUUUAGCGAGUAAACAAGCACCUAAAAAUGUGAAUUGUUAAAAAUCUGCAUAUGUAAAAGGCUAAGUAUUUAUAUUUAAGAAGUAUUAUUAUAUGUUGCAAGUCAACUACCUUUUGUGAAAAAAUAAGCUUGCUGCUAGUAAUUAGGUAACAACCACUGGAGUCGUGAACUAUGUGGACUUUGUUAUUUUUAUAUAAAUUCAUCUUGUGAGCAUAUAGAAAUUGUUGUAAUUAGUGUUUCUUUUUUGUUAGCACGAUUCAGAUUAUGCUCGCAUCCUGUUGGCACUCUAUCUAGCACAAUCUCCACUUAAUGAUAUUAGGCAUAAACUCAUGCAAGAUGCUUCCAAUGGAUAUGGAAAGUGUAGUGCUGCUGACUCGCAAAGGGCCCCUUGUAAACAAGCUUCAGAAUUAAGAAAAGCUGCCAGAAAUAUUAAUCUUAACCAGACACCGUCCGAGGCUUUAUUAAAAACAUUACUAUGAUCUCUAAAGGUAUGUUAAGUCGCUUGUCAUUCCCAUUUUUGAUCUUAUGUCCUACGCUUAUCAAUUGUUAUUAAGUUGUUUUUUCUAUUUCUUUUAGUGAGUUAUGAUGUUUUUGGUAGACCAAUUAAACUUGUUAUUAAUCAUCUGCUUGUGUUUUUUAGAAAAUUGUUACGUAGUUCCACCGAAAAUUAGGAAUAAUUUACCAUGAACGAGAUAAAACUAACAUAAAGAACGCAUGUGAUAGUUUAUUUUGAAAUAUGUACCCCUAAUGUCAGAAUUUCGUAAUAAAUAUAGAAAUAACAAACCAAAAAAUGGAGAAACCAUAAGUAGAGGAAUCAAACCAAAAAAUUGAAAUUUGUUAACAACAAAUUGAUAAAGAAAAUGGAAAAGUCGGUAAAUAUGAAUAGAACUUAAAAGUUCCACACAAAAGUUGUAAUUCAGUUGAAAGAUUUACAAUAUAUAACCAAUGAAUUGUUGGGAAAAGAGAUAAGUAGCUUAACUCAUAAAUAGAAAUAACUCACCACAAAUUGGGUAAAGAUUAACAUAAAAAAGGUUGUAAUAAUUUAACUUGAAAUAUGUACCCAUAAUGUUAGAAUUCAGUAGGAAAAGUAGAAAUAUCUAACCAAAAUGUGAGGAAAAAAAUAGUACAGGAGUGCAAUGGAAAAAUUAGAAUUUAUUGACAAAAAAUCGAUAAAGUUGAUGGUUAAGUUGGUAAAUACGAAUAAAACUUUAACUUCCAUAUGAAAGUUGAAAUUCAUUUAAAAGAGUUGGAAUAUUUAGCCCAUAAAUUAUUGAGAAUAUAAUUAGGUAGUUCACCCCACAAUUAGGAAUACUCGACCACAAACUGGAUAGCGAUUAACGCAAAGAACGCAUUUGAUAAUUUAAUUUGAAGUAUGCACCCAUAAUUUCAAAUUUCAAUAAUAAUAGUUGAAAUAAGCAACCAAAAAUUUGAGAAACCAUCACUACAGAAAUCCAACCAAAAAUUUGGGAUUUAUUAAUAAUAAAUAGAUAACAUAAAUGGUAAAGUUGGUUAAUGGAAAGACAACUUGGAAUUUCUACACAAAUAUUGUAAUUCAUUUAAAAAAUUUAAAAUAUACAAAUAAUGAAUUGUUGGGGAGAAGAGUUAAGUAACUGAACCUACUAUUAGGAAUAAGUAACAAUAAUUUGGAUACAAUUAACGCAAAAAAGGAAUAAAAUACUUAACUUGAAAUAUGUACCAAUAAUGUUAGAAUUCAAUAGGGAGUAGAAAUAUGCAAGUAAAAUAUGUUGAAAACAGGAGUCGAAUAGCCCAACCAAAAACUUAGCAUUUAUAACUGCAAAUUGAUAGCGUAUAACGUUAAAUAGGUAAAUGUGCAGAUGACUUGGAACGUCCACGCAAAAGUUGGAAUUCAAUUGACAGGUGGAGAAUACAAAUAAUAAAUUGUUAGGAAUAGAGAGUUAGGUAGCUAAACGUAUUAGUAGGAAUGUCUUACCACAAAAUAAAGAUGAUUAACCGGAAAAAGAUAUAUGGUAGUCUAACUUGAAACAUUUACCCAUAAUUUUAGAAUUCAAUUAAAAUAAUAGAAACAUAAGACCCAAAAAUAGAUGAAACAAGAUUGGAAAAAAUUAUCCAAAACUAAGAAUAACAAACCAAUUUUUUGAUAAAUUAGAGUGGGAAGUCGGAUUCUAUAAAGCGAACUUAGAAUAUUCACCUAAAAUAAUGGAAUUCAAUUAAAAAGAUAGGAAUAUAAGAGUCAACCUAUCAUGCAAGGAAUGUUGGCUCUACAAUUGGAAUAUAAAACAAAAAAAUUGGUGGAAAUAAGAGGUGAAGAACUUAAUCUAAACGUUGGGACAAUUUACUAAUGAUUUGAUAAAUUUUAAUGGGAAAUAUAAAUGUAAAAAUGAACUUGAAACAUUGACAUAAAUGUUGGAAUUCAAUAAAAAUUAUAGGAAUAUACAACCACAAAAUGGUGGGAAAAAAGUGAGAGUCAACCAAAAAGUUGAAAUUUGUAAACCAUAAUUUGAUAAACUUCAAAGGAAUUUUAGAUGAAAAAUGGACUUGAAACUUCUACCAAAAAUAUUGGAAUUCAUUAAAAAAAGAUGAAAUAUAAAACAAAAAAUUUGUGGGAAAAUAGUUGAUGAACUUAAUCUAAAAAUUGUAAAAGAAUUUCCAAAAAUUUGGUAAAUUCUAAUUGCAAGUAGGAAUAUAAAAUCAAAAAGUUGUGAGAGGAACAACCGCACCCAAAAUUGGUAAAAACUCACCAAGAAUUUGAGUACUUUUAACUAAAAGUAGGGAUGCAAAAUGUAAACUCGAAAAUUCGACCUAAAAUAUUAAAAUUUAACAAAAAGAGUAUAAGUAUAAAACCAAAAAGUAGUGGGAAAAAUAGUUAAAAAACUUAACCUAAAAAUCGAAAUAAAUUACCAAGAAUUUGAUAAAUUUAAACGAGAAGUAGAAAUCUAUAAAGCAAACUUGAAAUAUCUACUUAAAAUGUUGGAUAUUAAUACAAAGAAUAGGAAUAUAAAACCAAAAAGUAGUGGAAAGAAUAACCUCACCCAAAAUUGGGAACAACUCAAUCACAAUUUGAGUAAUUUCAAUUGGAAGUUGGGAUACAAAAAGUAAACUUCAAAUCUCGACCUAAAAUAUUGAAAUUCAACAAAAAGAGUACCCAAAAGUUGUACAAAGAACAAUCCAACCUAAAAUUAGGAACAAAACAUCGAAUAUUUGAGUAAUCUACACUAGAUGUAAAGUUACAAAAAGUAAACUUGAAAUUUCGAACUAGAAUAUUAAAAUUCAACACAAAGAGUAUACAUAUAAAACCAAAAACUGGUGGAAAUCAGAGUUAAAGAAUUUAACCUAAAAGUAGAAAUAAAUUACCAGGAAUUUGAUACAAUUCAACUAGAAGUAGGGAUGAAAAAAGCAAACUUGAAACAUCGACUUAAAAUGUUGGAUUUUAAUACAAAGAGUACAAAUAUAAAACCAAAAAGUAGUGGCAAGAACAACCUCACCCAAAAUUCGGAACAACAGAACCAGAAUUUGAGUAAUCUCAACUGGAAGUUGAGAUUUUUAAAGUAAACUUGAAACCUUGACCUAAAAUAUUAAAAUUCAACAAAAAGAAUAUAAAUAUAAAACCAAAAAGUUGAGCAAACAAGAGUUAAAGAGGUUAACCUAAAAGUAGAAAAAAAACUUACCAAGAAUUUGAUACAUUUCAACUAGAAGUAGGGAUUAAAAAAGCAAACUUGAAACAUCGACUUAAAAUGUUGGAUUUUAAUACAAAGAGUACAAAUAUAAAACCAAAAAGUAGUGGCAAAAAAAACAUCACCCAAAAUUCGGAACAACUCAACCAGAAUUUGAGUAAUCUCAACUGGAAGUUGAGAUUCCAAAAGUAAACUUGAAACCUUGACCUAAAAUAUUAAAAUUCAACAAAAAGAAUAUAAAUAUAAAUCCAAAAAGUUGAGCAAAAAAGAGUUAAAGAGGUUAACCUAAAAGUAGAAAAAAACUUACCAAGAAUUUAACAAUUUAUAACGAGAAGUAGAAAUUUAAAAACCAAACUUGUAACAUUCACUUAAAAAGUUGGAUUUUAAUAAAAAGAGUAGGAAUAUAAACCGAAAAAGUUGUGGAAAUAAGAAUUAAAGAACUUAACCUAAAAGUAAAAAAUAAAUUACCAAGAAUUUGACAAUUUUAACGAGAAGUAGAAAUCUAAAAAGGAAACUUGAAACAUCCACUUAAAAUGUUGGAUUUUAAUACAAAGAGUAGAAAUAUAAAAUACAAAAGUGGUGGAAACAAUAGUUAAAGAACUUAACCUAAAAGUAGAAAUAAAUCACCAGAAAUUUGAUAAUUUCAACGAGAAGUAAGGAUUUAAAAAGUAAACUUGAAACAUCCACUUAAAAUGUUGGAUUUUCAUAACAAUAGUAGGAAUAUUAAACCAACAAGUGGUGGGAAGAAAACCCCAACCGAAAUUUGGAACAAGGUCAUAGAAUUUGAGUAUCUUAAACUGAAAAUUGAGAUACAAAAGUAAACUUGAAACUUCGACCUAAAAUAUUAAAAUUCAACAAAGAGAGUGUAAAUAUAAAACUAAAGAGUGGUGGAAACAAGAGUUAAAAAUCUUAACCUAAAAAUAAAAAUAAAUUAUCAAGAAUUUGACAAAUUUCAACGAAAAAUAGAAAUCUAAAAAGUAAACUUGAAAAUUUGACUUAAAAUGUUGGAUUUUAAUACAAAGAGUAGGAAUAUAAAACCAAAAAGUGGUUGGAAGAAUAACCUAACCCAAAAUUGGGAACAAAUCAACAAGAAUUUGAGUAAUUUAAACUGGAAGUUGGGAUACAAAAAGUAAACUUGAAACUUCAACUUAAAAUAUUAUAAUUCAACAAAAAGAGUAUAUAAAUAUACUACCAAAAAGUAGUGAAAAUAGGAGUUAAAGAACUUAACCUAAAAGUAGAAAUAAAUCACCAUAAAUUUGAUCAAUUUUAACAAGAAAUAGGGAUCUAUAAAGUACACUUGAAAUGUCCACCUAAAAUGUUGAAAUUCGAUAAAAAUAAUAGAAACAAAUAACUAAAAAGUUGUGGCACAAGAGUUGAAAUUUCGACUUAAAAGUUGGAAUUACUUACUAAGCAUUAAAUAAUUUUUAAUGAAAAGUAGGGAUCUAAAAAAUUAACCGAAAAUAUUCACCUAAAAUGUUGGAAUUUAAUAAAAAAAAGAGGAAUAUAGAACUUAAGUGUGAUGAGAAGAUGAGUUGAUAAACAUAACCUAGAAAUUGGAAUAACUUACACAUAAUUUAACAAAAAAAAAAACAAGUAGAGAUCUAAAAAUGAACUUGAGACUUCCACCCAAAAUAUUUGAAUUUUUUAAAAAGAAUAGGAAUAUAGAAUUUAUAAGUCGCAGGAAUAAAAGUUGAUGAACUUAACCGAAAAGUUGGAAUAAGUUAUAAGGUAUUUGGUAAAUUCCAAUGCGAAGUAGAGAUCUAAAAAGUAAACUAAAAACAUUUAUUCAAAAUCUUGAAACUCAAUCAAAAUAGUAGGAUUGUAAGAUAUAAAAGUGGUGGGAAAAUGAGUAGGAACAAGUUACUAAAAAUUAGAUAAAGUUUAAUGGAAUGUAGGGAUAAAAAAUGUAAAAUUGAAAUAUCUACCUAAAAAGUUAGUAUUUAAUGAAAAGAGUGGAAAUAUGAAAGAAAAGACUAGUAAAAAAUGAGUUGAAACAAGUUACGAAAAUUUAGAUAAAUGAUAAUGAAAAUUAGGAAUUUCAAAAGUAAACUUGAGACAUAUAAUAUAAGUAUUGGAAUGUAACAAUAAAAAAUUGAAAUAUGACUAUUUUGUGAUAUUUUUAUAAUAUUUUUAUUAAUUUUUAUGCUAUUUAUAAAUUUAAAAUUAUUACAAUUUUUUUUAUCUCAUUUGAAGGCAUUUUUAAAAUUUUCCCUUUUUUAAAUAAAAAUUUCAUAUUAAAAACAAUUAAAAAUUUUAAUUUGCAUUUAUUAACCGGUUGAAAACCGGUUGUACCGGUACCAUGCAUGCGCUGCAUGAGAUGCAGCGCUGCAUGGUAGGUUGACUCAGAAAAAUGACGAGUACGUGUCAGGUUUGAUUAGUCAUAUGAAGAGUACGUGUCAGGUUUGAUUUUCAUGUGAUUUGGUUAAUGACGACGAAAACGACGACGUCCUAGUUGAAAAGCGUUUGAAUUAAUGUUGCGUAAAAAAAAUAAACUUGUUCCACUAAUUAAGUCAACAUUACUGAUGUCUUAUCACCCUCGGCCAACUUAACAAUUGGUGUCCUUUGGACAAUUAAAUAUGAUUUAUUCAAAAAAAAAAAUGAAACAAUUAAAUAUGAUCACGUACUGAACUUUAAUUUGUUAAAAAUUAGGUCCAAUAAUAAUAAUACUAAUAAUUAAGAAGAUCGAAUUACAUAUCAAAAUGACUCAAACAAAUUAAUUAAUUUUAUAUUAGCUAGCGAAGUAGGUUGUCCAUCCCACUCAGACAUGCACGAAAGCUAAAUUCAUCAAAUGAAUUACUUAAAAGGGAUCACUUAAAAUUAUCAAAAGGUGUUAUACUAUUAAAUAUUUUUAUACUUAAAAUUACUUUAAAAUUAUAAUUUCAAAUUAAAAUAGGAGUAGCAAAAUCGUAGUGGACAUUCAAUUAACCAACUAAUAGUCUAAGAAGCAAAAGAGAGGAUUACAAGUUCACAACACCAUUAAUUCCCACACGAAAAACCCCUUCAAUGGAUUGCUUGCCUUCCCAAUGCUAUAUACUGUGCAAACUGCGCACUGUCCAAGAAAAUGUUUUCAAUUUAGUGUAUUUUCAAAAUGCUUAUUUUCUCAGAAUAUAAAAAAGUUAAAACAUGUAAUCUUCAGAAGCAUAUAAUAAAAGAACACUUCCACAAAUUACUACAAUUUCAUGCAGUAGAGAUUGAAGAGUUGAAUUCCACUUGUAGACAAAGACCUUUUGUUUUGUCUAAUGUUAAUAAUGAAAACAACAACAGAGGAUUAACUGAUGCUUUGACUUAUUAGCAGAUUGCAAUGAAUUAUUGACUGAUGCUUUGACUUAUUAGUUCUGCAGCUAAGUUAAAUAAAAUAAGGUAUUUUCAAAAGCAAAAUGGAAUACAUAGAUAAAACAUCAUCUUAAACAAAUCACAAUCCAGAAUUAGAGCAUUUUCAACAUACCUAAGGAAAAAAGAAUACGUGAAAAUGGGUGAUUCAUUUGCUAAGGAGUGUUGAUUUGGUCGUCUCUGCAAAUUCUUUAGGGACUCGGUUCCAGUUCCUCUACAUCUGAAGUUCCACUCGUGCUAGGCAAAUCAUCCAAUUUCCAAACUUCGGUAGCAAAAUUGAUAGUAAAAGUGUUGUCUUUGGUCUCGCUGGGAUUUGCAUAUACUGGACAUACUCCGCAACGUUCUAUCUUGCAACCCUUCAGGUUACUCUUAGCGAAGAACUUAACUGUGGCAGUUGUAUGAUUGUAACAAUCAGGAAACCCAACAUUCAAGCAAGGUUUAAAACCAAGUAUGACAUGAUCUGAAUCAAUGAGGUCUUCAAUAAAGCGCGAAUUGUAACCCAGAUCAACAUGUUUGGUUUCAGAGAGAGUCUUUAUUUCUAAGUCGAAUUGACACUUGACGUAAAAAUAACGAAAACAAUCAGAAUAAACUUGCUUUAAAUCAGGAACAGCACAACAACAGAGGAUUAACUGAUGCUUUGACUUAUUAGCAGGUUGCAAUGAAUUAUUAACUGAUGCGUUGACUUUCAAAAGCAAAAUGGAAUACACAGAUAAAACAUCAUCUUAAACAAAUCACAAUCUAGAAUUAAGAGCAUUUUCGACAUACCUAAGGAACACGAAUACGUGAAAACGGGUGACUCAUUUGUUAAGGAGUGUUGAUUUGAUCGGCUCUGCAAAUUCUCUUGGUUCUCGGUUCCAAUUCCUCUUCAUCCGAAGUUCCACUCGCGCUUGGCAAAUCAUCCAAUUUCCAAACUUUGGUAGCAAAAUUGAGAGUAAAAGUGUUGGCUUUGGUCUCGCUGGGAUUUGCAUAUACUGGACAUAAUCCGCAACGUUUUAUCUUGUAAACGUUUAGGUUACUCUCAGCGAAGAACUUAAAUGUGGCAGUUGUAUGAUGGUAACCAUCAGGAAAGCCAACAUUCAAGCAAGGUUUAAAACCAAGUAUGACAUGAUCUGAAUCAUGGGGGUCUUCAAUUGAGUGCGAAUUGUAACCCAGAUCAACAUGUUUGGUGUCAGAGAGAGUCUUUAUUUCUAAGUCGAAUUGACACUUGACGGAAAAAAGAUGAAAAUCAGAAUAAACUUGCUUAAAAUCAGGAACAGCACAAAAAGCAAACCCGAUUAAGUUUCUGCAAAAAGAGUGCGGUGGCAGUUGAAUACAUAUCGAAUAUCCUGAACUUUGAUUGCUGAACCAGUCAGGAAUUUCUCUUCCAGGUAAAACAAUUAGGGAUCCCCUCAGUUCAGAAAGUUUCUGUGAGAUGACAUUUAAAAAAAGAAAAUUGUAAAAUGAAAACCAUGAUUUCAGAUAUAACAAAGAGGGACAGAGUAAACAAGAGAGGGAAUUUGAUACCUCGUUGAUUGCCUUUUCAUAGCCCAGUCUCAGUGAUGCAAUUGCCAUACCCCGAAUUAUUAGUAGUGAAUCUGCCAAAAUCUUGUUGUUUGCUUUUCCAUCAAGUUUCAAGCAGUUAGUAAACUCAAAACAAAUUGCUGCUGACUCCAGAGAUUGAAUAAGGUCAGGAGAGGGUUUCGAUAGCUUUUCUAGUAUGGAUGCAUCUAGUUCUUGCAGACAUGACGGAAUCUCUGGCAAAGAUUGAAGCCGCUUGCAGUUCGUUGCAUCUAGUUCUCGUAGACACAAUGGAAGUUUUGGUAAUGACCGAAGCAUGUUACAAUCCCUCAAGUAAAGACUUUUUAGACACAAUGGAAGUUCUGGUAAUGACUGAAGCAUCUUACAAUCCCUCAAGUGAAGAGAUUUUAGGCGCAAUGGAAGUUCUGGUAAUGACUGAAGCAUCUUACAAUCGCUCAAGUCAAGAGAACGCAGUCGCGACAGUUGCUUGAUGCUUGCAGGUAAACUCUCAAAGUUAUUUUCACGUAGAUCCAAGCUUGUCAGUGAGGAUAAACCUAAUAAUAAUGAUCGAGGCAAUGAUACCAAACCUUUGCAUCUAGAGAACUCAAGAAUUCUAAGUACGUUUGAAUCUGCAACAGAGGAUGGUAGUUGACUAAUAGCUGAUCCAACUGCUGAGAUGGCCUGCAAAGAUUCUAAAUUGCCAAUGUUAUCCGGCAACUUAUCAAGUUUAGAGCAAUCAUCUACGGACAAUGAUUCAAGCCCCGGUAGAUUUUCAAAUGACGAUGGCAGCUCUGUAAUUGCCGUCCCGUCUAAAUUGAUGCGUUUUAAAUGUUCCAUUUUCUCCAAGAUUUCUGGGAAGCGCUCAAGGUUCAAGCAGCCAUUAACAAAAAGAUCAACCAAAGAUCUCAAUUUACAAAACCUAGUUGAAAUCCUCUUCAGCCGUUUGCAAUCCCUCAAAUACAACACUUCAAGAUCAGUUAGGCACUCUAUUGAUGAUGGAACUUCUUCCAUUGCAGACUGGCGUAAGUAUAGCUGUGUAAUUUUCCCAGAAAUCUGUGGAAACUCUAUGAGAUUAACACAAUAGGAGAAAUUAAUAGUUACUGGACAAACAAAAUGAAGAUUGCUUGGAAAAGACCUAAGACUUUUGCAGCCCUCAAAAGACAACGCACUGAGAUACUUGAAAUUCUGGAUAGAUGAGGGAACACAAGCCUUUUCUCCUUCCCAAGGUUGCUCAACUUUACUAAAACGCAAAUUCAGUUCAACAAGGUUCUUUGGCUUGAAAUUUGAUGGCAGUGUCCUUAAUGGAUAUGUGUCCCAAUGAAGAUAUCUCAAUUUUUCAGGAAGAUAAUCUAGGCCAUUUGGAAGCUGCACUUUAGAGUAUGAAAGUUGCUCUUCAAUGCUCAUACUUAGAAGAUUUUCAAUCUCAUACUUAGGUACAUAAAAUUUGAGCAAUCUCAGAUUAGACAUAUUUGUGAAGGCUCCGGGGUCUAAAUUGAUGCCUUUUAUUUUGGACAAAUCCAGAAAUAUGCCUUCAAUUGCAUCGGUCCCCUUAUAAAAAAAAAAAAAAAAAAACAAAGAAUGGGUAAGCCUAAAAUAGAAAAGAAACAUUCGUGAACUUUAUUAACUAAGGGGAUAUUAUCAUUUUCCCGCCGACACAUCAUGUCAGUACCACGGUUUGGUAAAACUAUCAAUUUACCACCAAACAUUUAAACUCAUUCCGUUAAACUGUUAGCAUUUUCCCACCAUUCUGUUAAAACUCAGUUAAUAUGUAACAGAAAUUUCCUAAAAGGUCAAUUUUACCCCUGAAGCAUAAAAGACCAUGUAAUUAACCUUUUAUGAAUUUUGUAAUUAAAUCAUCAUUUGUUGUUCUUCAUUCUUAAAGGACAAAAAUUACCCUUUAUAAAUUUUGUAAAAUUGACCGUGUGGUGUUAGGUACUUCAUAAAUUGAUUUAAUUUUUAAAGAGCAAAUUUAUUUAUUUAAUUUUUUUUUAUAAAAUUAUUAUCAUCAUAUCAAAGAUUAAAUUGCUUCUUUUGCACAUUCUUUUUUUUUCCCUUUCAUAAAUUGAUUUUUAGUAAUAGAAUAAAUUGUCUUUAGCUCGUCAAUUUAAUUAAUAAAUUAAAGCUAAAAGGAACAUUUAAGCUAAAAGGAGUGAUUGGAGGCAGAACUAGGUGGGCCAAUCAGUCCAUUUUAUUAGCAACUGUUGCUUAAAAAAAAUUAUACUCUAAAAUACACUUACUUUUUAAAAAAAAUAUAAUUAUAUUAAAAUAGAACCAGGUGGGCCAAUUCUCAUGGCACUCACUUUGUUAUGACACUCUUCACUAAAUUUGAAGAGAAAUAAAAUUAUACUCUUCCCACUCUUAUUCAACAUUCCAAAUUUGAUAAAAUCUAGAGUUUUCUUUAAAAAUUUAAAAUUUGAAGACUUGUUUUCUUGACACCCUCAGUCAUUAAUUUUACCUAAUUAUGGUUUUUAUGAUUUUGGUUGUUUUGUUCAUAAAAUAAUUUUACUAAAGGAUGUUCUCGUAAUAAUAAAAAUUAUAAAAAAAACAUGGGUGUGCUGGUAUGGUUGGAGAAAUAUGAGUGCAUAACUCCAAACAAAUAAAAGAUAUAUAUAUAUAAACGGAAGAUUCUUACCUUAUUAUGCUUUAGUACCCGGCGGAUUUCCUUAGGAUCCCACAACCUGUUGCGUUUGCCUGGCUCUUUCUCAGAUUCUUGGCGAACAAUUUGUCGCCCCAUUUCUUGCAAUAUAUCAUGCAUUUGCAACAAUUUGUCGCCCCAUUUCUCAGAUAUUGAUAUGAGUGACUUAUCAAUAAGGACAUCCAGUCCAUCCGACUCAGAAUCAUCAAGAAUCCUUGCCACAAAAUCUUUAUCCUCUCCCUCAAAGAAACACGCAAUAUCUAGAAAUAUGCUCUGCACCCUGGGCGUUAAUUCAUCAAAACUAAUCUUUAAUUUCUUAUAAAUAGCAUGAAUAUCAGAUUCACAAAUCCGAUUUAAGUCGUCCAAUACUUUUCCCCAAUGGCUUUUCCCCUUGAGGGAGGAACCCAACACUUUAAGAACUAAUGGAUUGCCAUCAGCAUACUUUACAACUCUCCGUGAGUCAGGUUUGAAAUCUUCAGGACAAUGCUUUUCUUUAAAAGCGAAGUUACAAAAAUGCUCGAAAGCCUCAUGAAAAUCCAUUCCAUUAACCCUAUAUAUUUUCUUCUCCUCCACUCCAAAUUUUUCGAGGACUCCUUUAUCCCUAGUGGUUACAACAAUUCUACUUCCUGGACCAUAUUGAUCAAGCUCUCCAAUCAGACCCUCUAAUUGUCCAACUUCAUUCACAUCAUCGAGUACUAUCAACACCUUCAUACGCCGGACCCUCUCUUUAGUAAAAUGUGGAAUAUUGGCACCAGCUACUUCAAGUUUUUCGCUUAAUAUUGUUGAAAGCAUUUCCUUUUGUAGGUCUUCUAGGCCACCCUCUGUUUCUGAUUUUCUCCUAACAUUUUUUGCAAAGUAUUUACCAUCAAACUCACCAGAGAAUUGAUCGAAAAUAGCUUCGGCAAGGGUGGUUUUGCCGAUACCACCCAUGCCCCAAAUUCCAACAAUUUGGACAGUAUCCGACAAAUCCAUACACAAAAAUGGUUUAAUCUGCUCAAUUCGUGAAUUUAAUCCAACUAGGCCGUUGGAUGAGUCCGUUGAGACUGUUAUUUUUUCCAACUUCUUCAAAACAUCUUCGACAAUUUUGUUUACAAGUUCCGCAUCGUGCCUAAUAUAAAGGUGCAAAGAUGCAAAAACAUUGAGUCAAAUCGGGCCAAGACAGAAACAGAGAUAAGAUGAAUUAGGAAAGAGAGUUACCUGAAUUUCGUGGAUUCGUGGCCAGCAAGACCGGAUGUUUCUCUCAGUGCAUCCCUCCACCUCUGAACCAUUUCUGGUUUAUCUUUGAACUUCUGUUCUAGCUUGUAAAAACCGUCCCCAAAAACUCCGGUUUGAUGCCGCACAUCGGAUGGACUUACUCCAUAGAAAACCGGAAUAUUGAUUUGGCCGUUUGUGUGCUUGCAUUCAAGAAUCUUGACAAGUUCAUUCAGGCACCAUUUUGAAGAAGCGUAGUCCUUUGAGAAAAUGACCACCGAAAUUUUUGAACCUUGGAUUGCGUUCAAAAGGGCAUCUGAAAUCUCAUCUCCUCGCCUGAGCUUUUCAUCAUCCAUAAAUGUUUUGAUUUUCUUUUUGUCAUACAAAUCAUCAUAGAGAUGGCAAGUAAAGAUCCUACGAGUGUCCUCCCCUCUAAAAUUGAGGAAGACUUCAUAAAUGCAAGAAGAAGAAGAAGAAGAAGCAGCCAUGAAGGAAAUUUUAGAAAAUUGGUGACAGAAACAGAGAAUUAAUGUUGAGAGUUGAGAGAGGAGAUGUAAGAAUGAACAUGUGUGAAGAUUCUUGCAAGCACACACUAAAUAAUUGAAUGGCUGGAGCUUUCUUAGUCUCCUGGAAAUUUCCUGGAGCUUUCAUAUACAUGAUUUGUCAAGUCAAGAAACAUAAUCAUGAUAAUGGGGCAGACCAGGAAGAAAAGAAAAUUUGAUUCAACCAAUAAAGGAAGGAAAAGCAAAGAAAGAAAAUUUGAAAGUAGAUUCAGAGAAUUAUAAAAAGCUAAAGGAAAUUGGAAUUUUGUACAAUUUCUCCAGCGAGGAACUUUCACUGUCAUUACCUCACCGUUAGAGUUUGGAUUAAGAUUUGAGGGUGCAGGCAUUUACCUAGAGUUUACCUCCGCACUAAAUUCUUAAGUUUUGAAAAUUAUGAAACCUUUAUAUUGGGAGAUAUUGUAAUCGAAUCAAAACUUAAAAUUUUUAUAAUGUUAAUAUUUAAUCUUUCAAAAAACAAUAACCUCGCCGUUGUAGUUUGGAUUAAGAUUUGAGCAAUUAUUUACCUAAAUUUUACCUCCGUCUGUAAAUUCUUAAGUUUUGAAAAUUAUGAGACCUUUAUAACCGAAUCAAAAUUUUGAAUUUCAAUAUUAUUAUUCUUUAAAAUUUUUUUUGAGAUAACAGAGUGAUUGAUAGUAUAGGAGAACUUGUCUAGGCAAGCACAUGCAUACACAGAAACGUGAUGGAUUCAAAAAGAAAUUAAAGUGAUAAUGCGAAAUCGCUUGGUGGCCUAGUAAAAUUACAACCGAAUUUUUUUUUUUAACAAAAUUCAAGCUCAUAAAUGACAAAAGCUAUUUCAUUUCCCUUUCACACGUCAUUAACUUUUGUAACACGGUGUGUGCAUCGUCAAGUGAGGCAAAAGGGUUUCGAUUAUAGUGGGAAAACAUGAACAAGAAUGCAUAAUGAAUAAUUCCUUCGAUAAAGCGAAAAUUAAAUUACAGAAUAAUCCUAAAAUUUAAACUCUAAUAUCUUAUAAUGUAUUGAUUAAAAAUAAUCCUAAGAUUUCCCAAUUGAAACUUUCAUAAGUAUUUUUAUUGUUUUGGAUAAACAAAUUGCACUAGGAUAAAAAUUUGGCAAAUUCAGAGGAUAAUGGAAAAUAGUUAUGCUUCAAUAGGCCAAAGAUUAGAGAACAAACAAGAAUUAGUUAUUGAUAUACAAAAGAGAAACACUCCAAAAUUUCAAGCAAAAAUAGUUUCAUAUACCAUUUCGAUUUUGGAAGGGGUGAGAGACUUAUUGGUACCUUAUUGAAGGUAAACAUUAUAGAACUUUCAAUGUCAUUACCUCACUGUUCAACGAAGACUUAUUGGUACCUUAUUGAAGGUAAACAUUAUAGAACUUUCAAUGUCAUUACCUCACUGUUCAAUUUUUAUUGAGUCUUGUGUAAGCAUUUACCUAAAUCUUACCUCCGCCUUUAAAUUCAUAAGUUUUGAUUAAUUAUGAGACCUUAUGUUGGGAGAUAUUAUAAUCGAACUAAAACUUAAAAUUUCAAUAUCAUUAUUCUUUAAAAAGAAAUUGAGAUUUCAGAGUAAUAUCACAUAGAAAAACUUGCCCACGGUAAGCCAAAAGUCUAGUCAACCACAUGCAUAAAGCUAACUAGAGCAAGAGGACAGAGAAACGCGUGGGUCCCUAAAAGAAAAGGCAAGCACAUAAAGAACUUUCAAAAUGCCCAAGCAAAUACUGAUAAAAAUCACUGUUUAAGACUAAUAUAUUAUGUGGUUGAAGCUUUCUUUUUAUCAAUCUUCUUUCUACCCAUUAAUUUUCCCACGACUUUCCGGUUUUAUUUCUUGAAUCUCCAUGGAUUAACUUUCAAUAAACCAUAAAAUAAACUAAGGAAUCAUUUUCUCGAACACAGCUAUGAUUUUAAUAAAUGGGCGGACCAUCUAGAAUAGUAUAUAUAAUUCUGUUUAAUUAAUAAUUUGAAAAAACCAUCAAGAGAAAUUCUAAUAUUAUGAGCUUGACACGAAUUCUUCACUAAUUCCAAAACAAGGAGCUGUUUUAUAAGAACUGUGGUUGGAUUAUUAAGUUUUACAAUUUGAAUAUAAAUAAGAAAAUAAAAUCAAUCGCGUCGAUGUUUUCGAUACAUUUCGCUGCUAACUUAAUUAAUUACUUUACUUCAACUUUAUUUCCUGACGGGCACUAUAAGGUGGGUCCAAGAUGAGACCUACAAUAAUCAAUCCUAGAAUUUAGUAUGGUUACUAAAUAGCUUAGUGUUAUUUUGUGUUUGGUGGAAGAGAUUGAAUAUUUAGUUUUAACUUAACCAUUCAACUAAUUAGAAAAUAAAUAAACUUAAAUGAAAUGUUUAGAUAUCAAUUUAAAUAUUAAUAUCGGGGAUAUAAAUUAGUUAUAAUAUAGUUCAUUAUAUAAAAUUGAUUAAAUUAAUAAUUACACAUGAACAUAGAUGUAUAUGCUUUCCAAUUUCCAAAGUGCUCAAAGCACUUUUCUCACCAAACUUUCCUCUGAAUUUCCCGUAGCUGACUCCUUUGUUUGCGUUUUGUGAAAUUUCUAGGAACUUUUUUCUAUUUAGAAUAUUGUACAUUUUUCUUUUCAGCUGAGAUUAAUUUAACUUAUAGAAAAUCUUAUCCUUUUUUUAAUAUUAUUUAAAUAAAAUUUGUCUAUCUUUCAUUUUAUCAGUCUACUUUCUAGUUUCUACCCAUUAAUUAAGACUUUUCGAUUUCUUUUUUUCCUUAGGUUUUCAGUGACCAUCUUUCAAUAAACCACAAAAAUUACUGAGUCAUUUAUUGAACAAUUAGAUGACCAUAUUUCAAAAUAUCAACUAGAAGUUGCCCUGAAAUAUUUAAUUAAUAGUUGAAGAAUUGUGAUUAGUGUGGGCAUCUACAUAAAAAUUAUAUUAAAACACUGCUAAAAGAUAAAAAUAAAAUAAAAUAAAAUAGUACAAACAUACACCCAUAGGUUAAAACAAAGAAAAAACACGAACCAAUACACUAAAAUGUUUUAGCUGUAGUUAGUUUUCAGUUUCAUUACUUAAGUCCCACGUGCAUGUCUCGUGACUGAGGUCAAAAAAUGAUUGUCACAUUAAAGUUCAAAGUACGGAGCGGGGUAAUUAAGGAGUGGAGCUAUUGGCACCCCUCCAUUAUUCUUACAAAACCCCACUUUAAAUCAAAUUAUAAUUAAGGACAAUUGAAAAUUAAACACUUAUAGAUUUCUUUACAACAUGUUGAGUGAUAAAAAAGCACCAGUCGGGCAUGUCCCCAUUUCCUACCCGGGGGCGAAUCUCCUCGGCCGAAUGGUAUGAGUAGACUCCUGGUGAUGUCUUCUAUGUGGAGCACGUAACAAUCGACCAGGAACUAGUACCAACCAGAAACGAGUACUGAUCAGAAACGAGCAUGACUAGAAACGCAUACCGACCAGAGACUUGUGGGUCUCUAAAAGAAAAGGCAAGCACAUAAACGAAAAAGCCAUUACAUUUCUAUUUUAUAUGUCAUUCCUAAUUUUUGUAACAUGGUGUGGCAGCAUAUGCACAAUCAAAUGAGGCAAAAGGGAUUCGACUAUCGUGGCAGAACAUGGACGAGGACGCGUGAUGAAUAAUUCCUUCGAUAAAAUGAAAAACAAACGCAGAGAAAAUAAUUUCUUAUAUGACAAGAAAUUAAAGUAAUGUGAAGGAACAUGAUGAAGAAAUUGCAGACCGAUCAAUUAUCCCCAUGGACUCCUAUAAAUUCAACCAAGAUAACAAUUCCAAUCUUACCAAAUUCUUGAGUUAAAUUUAUUCAAUGCUUUUUUUUUAGAGAAAUUUUUUCCAAUGCUACUUUCCCUUUUUUGGGGAAAUUAGAACUGCGGCAUGUAUAGAAGACAUUGAGGUAUAAAGCAACAUUAAUUUCAUGGGUUAUGCGUUAUACGCAUAAUAUAUUUUCAGUCCAAAUUCAACUAUGAAAAGAGGCUUGAGAACUUAAAAUUAAGCUCAAACUAAACAGACGAAGUAAAUACAUGAUUAUGCAACAUAACAUUAAUUCUCUCAAUUUAUAACUGUUUUUGCCACAUGAAUCUUGCACAGUUAAUCCUAAUUGAAGACUAAAAAAGAACAAUUGGAACAAGGUUUUGGAAUAGAAUGAUAUACAAUCGAUAUGUUCCAUUUCCAGUCGUCAUAACUAAUUAACUGCAGUUUCUAGACUCCUAAUUAUACUAGCCAUAAGAAACUGUUUAGAAAACUGGUGAUCAGAUUAGAUUUUGAAAAGAAAUAAUGUUCAUUUUCCCUUUGCUACCUUUUUUUUUUUUUUUAUACCAAAGAAUUCUAUCAUGAAAAGAAUCAAUUUAAUCACCUUUUCCAGCAGCACAAAUUUUCUUUUAUAAAAUUUGACCACGGAGACAAAGAAGAAUUAUUCAUACCUUCAUCAGUAAGGAAAUACUUUUCGGUAUGGCUAGGGUGAGAAAAGGCUUUCCACAAACACUUGUACUUUGUAUUCCUGUAAAUUUUCUUUAAAGUCAAUAAAAACCAUAAGUUCUUUACAAUAACCAUCUCUUUGAUCAAAAAGUGCCGCAUUCCUUUAGAAUUUAAAACCGGCAAAACCGAAUCAGUGUCUUUGAAGAGACAUAAUGGUCGUAAUUCUUUAAAUGAGUUGGCUAAGGAAAUCCUUAUCCAAGAUUCUUUCACGCCAUGUUCUUUCGUAAACCAAAAUUCAUUUUGGAAUACUCUGAUGAGAAUGUCAAAUAAAACGGCAUUGAAGGAAGUUUUCAAAGGCAGAAUCUGCACUUGUCAAAGGGAUGAUAUGCACUUGUCAAAGACACGACCCGCGUCGAACGAAUCAACACAUUUCCUUUCGUAUUCGCAUAUGUAAUCUUUGAAAAAAUGUAACUUCUGCAUCUAUAAAUAACGCUCAGUGUAUAAUGUUUUAUUCAAGAAAAGAAAACAAGUUUCUUCAUACUCCUCGUCCGAACAUACAGGGACAGUCUCUCAUAACUUCAGCCGAAUACUUAUGAUGAUGAUCAUUUGUGAUUUCAUCAGGCAUAGGGUUGAUGGUGAAAAAUUUUGUAUGUGUGAAGAAUUGAGCUGUGGAUAUAAGGGACUUAAGUGUAAUCGAAAGAGAGUUAUUAGGCCAUAGUGCAGAUUGCAUUUAGUUUAUGGGUCGAUAUGCGAAAUCUGUUAUGGUCGUUACUAUUGUUUCUGGAAAUUUUCUAGAAACCUCAGCAUAAAAGGGGCUUUUGCAUAGCCUCUGGUGUGCGUGUGAUUUCUCUUUCGUUUCCUCAUCAAAUUCUGUAAUUCUUGCUUUGAUAAAAAGCUUGUAAUCUCUUCUGUAAUGUGUGAUCAGUGCGUAAUCAUUUUGAGCAAUAAAAGCUUGUGGGUUUUUCCUUCAAACAGUGUCGUUUUGGUCAAUUUGUUAGUUUGAUCUGUUGGUGGAAUUUUCUUUGGUUAUUUGUUCUCAAAUUUCAACCGUAUAUAAAGUUUGAACUCUAAUGGCUUAUAAUGUAUUGAUUAAGAAUAAUCCUAAGAGUUCCCGAUUGAAAUUUUUAAUGACUAUUUUUAUUGUUUUGGAUAUACAAAUUGCAUUAAGAAAAAAUAUUGUCAAAUUCAGAGGAUAACGGGAAAUAAUUAUGCUUCAAAAGGCCAGAGAUUAGAGAACAAAGAAGCAUUCAUUACUGAUAUACAAAAGAGAAACACUCCAAAUUUGCAAGCAAACUAGUUUCAUAUACUAUUUGGAUUUUGGAAGGGGUGAAGUUUUGAACUUCAGUUGUUCCUCUAAAAUCAAAAGCAGCAAUUAAGCGUUCUCAAUUAGAAAUAGCAAAGAAGACUUAUUGGUACCUUACUGAAGCUAACAUUAUGGCACGGUUGUUCAUAUGUAAUGGUUGCUCUGUUAUGCUAGCUUCUCUGUUUUUGCUUACAGUUUUGAACAUAAAUUCUUGCUCAAAUAACCCAUAAUUAAAUAACACUAAUAUGGCUCAUGAAAUCCUAUAAUAGCUAAUUACGCAACUUUCUCCUCCUCCUCAAUUAUGUCUUCCCCUGCUCGUACACUAAAUUCAAAAUUCAAUGCCCCGAAAAACAACACAAGAAAUCUUUGAGUUAGUUCGUGACCAGUUUAUAUAUAGUAGCAAUUGAAAAAAGAAAAAGAAGAAAAGAGUUAAUUAUUAUUCAUACCUUCACUUAUUAGGAAGUUUGUUCUGCUAUUGGGUGAGAUCAAGCUCUCAGCAUAUACUUCCGCAUAAUACUUUCUAACAUUUUCUUGAAAGACCAUCAAUCAUAAAAUCUUCAUACUUUUUUCCAUCCUUUGGAUCAAUAAGUACAAAUUUCUCAUCUAAAACAGAAAAAAUAAAAUCGCUGUCCUUCAUGGAAUAUCAUGGCUGCAAUGCCUGAACUGAAUUAGCUAAUGAAAUUUGAGUCCAGGAUUCUCUCAGCCCAUAUUCUUUCAUAAUCCAAAAUUCUUUUCUUUCUCGACAUGGAAGAUAGUCUUCUUUUCUUUCUCGACAUAUGUCUCUGUACUUUUCUCUCUCUACUGAUCCACACUUUUUCAUACUUCUAACUAUCAUUUUGUUUUUUUUUUUUUUGUUGAGUUGUGAUUUAUUCAAUUAUUUUUUAUUUUUAAUGACAAUUAUUUAAUAUUUAGUUUGUUUUGAUAUUGAUUAGUGAUUGAAAGUGUAUUUUAGAAGACUUCCGGUCUCUUGAAAAAAGGAAAAAUGGAGAAGAAGAAGAAGUGUUCUUGAUUUUUUUGUAGGCAUUAAAGUUAAACGGUUCGAAAUGAUAUUUUGUUUUAAUUUCACUCAUUAAUCUCAUUCAGGAUAAAAUUAUAAAUGCAAAUAAAUGGGGUUUCAUAAGUAUAUUUAAUAGUGUUAAAAGGUCUACUCACUAAAUAAACAUGUUUUACCCAAACCAAUCCGAUUAAUAAGCUAUUGGGUUGGGUUGAUCAGGUUAAAAAUUAAAUAAAUAAAAAAGGCAUAAAAACUAUAUUUUACUUGAAAAUAAAAAAGAAUUUCUAAUAGUUAGUUCUAAUGUCCCAUAUCCAAAACAUGCAUAUUAAAUAAAUAUUAUAAGUUAGAGGUAAAAUAUCCAAGAAACAAUGUAUGAAUGAAAUACCAUAUUUUUGUUGAGAAUUAAGAGUGUGAGUUUAAUUUUGAUAUUGGAGUCUAAAGCAAUAGAUAGUACAAUGAAAUCAUGAAUGCCACAUUUAAAUAAUCUCUUUUAUAAAAUAAUAAAAAGAAGUUAAAAAUUAAGUUAGCCAUUUAGGCGUUUAGGGUUUAGCAGUUAAGGAUGAACAUAUUAUUAUUAUUGUUGUUGUUGUUGUUAUUAUUAUUAUUAUAAUAAUUAUUUACAUAUUAAUUAAUCCAACUCAACCCAUUUGUUAACAAAUUUGAAAAAAAAUGACUCAAUUAAUCCACAAUAAUCCAUUCAACUUGUCUAAAUUGGAUUAGGUUGAAUUUGAUUUGCCACCCCAAUUUGAUUUGCCACCCCUAUUUUGAGCAACAAACCUCAAUGUGAUUCCAUGAGCUCUUUGAUUGUUUAUAAAAUUGAUUUAGAGUACAUAAUGGAGUGUAUCGACAAUGAAAGUGCAAAACAAAUAUUUGUGUACAUUAAAAUCUGCAAAGCAAUGAAUUAUAUGUACGAACGAGUGCAAACACAUUUUUCAAUAAGAAGUUAAAAGAUAUUUAUGCAUGAAAAAGCCUGCGUUUGUAGUAUUCUAAAUUUUAAAAAUAAAAUUUACAUUUAGAUCCCUAAAAUUUACGUAUAAGUACAAAAGUUUCAAAUAUUGUCUAUUAUUUUUUUAACAUGCCUAUUCCUUGUGGAUAAUUCUAUCUCAUCGCUGAUGUUGUUUCUUGCUUACAAUUUGUAUAGCGUCUCAAAAUAGACAAUAGGGGGAUUUUGAAUUUUUUAAGUCUCAAUAGUCUCUAAUCUUGUGAGAAAGAUUUUCUUUCAAUAAUUUGGAGGUAAACAUAAGAUAACUUUUUAGAUUAAAGCCUAACUCUGCUGGUUAUGGUGGUAUCCUUUUCAAGACUUGAGUCUUUAGAUUUGAGUUUUAUGGAGUGUGCAUGCGUAUUUAAUUAAUAGUUUUUUAAAAACAAUACAUCAAAUAUUAAUAUCCAUGACAUAAUUUAGUUCUUAAUUUUUUUAAAAUACAUCAAAAACAUAAUUUUUAUAACAACUUAUAGGCAUGAAAAAUUUCAAGAUAUAACUAUCAGUCAAAAUGAGUGAAAGAAAUAACGGUGUCAAUUUUAAUUUCUUGACUAAAUUAAUUAGUGCAUGAGCCCUGAAUACGACGCAAGAGUUUGAUGGGCUAACUUGGCACAAGAACCUGAAUAAAUAAUUGAUUGAAGAAAUAAUUCAACGAAAAAUAUAAUUGAUAAAAAUUCAGUAUUGAAAUGAGUUUUUUACGAAACACUGAAUUAAUGAUUAUUAAGCAAGAAUAAUAAAAAAUAAAAUAAAAAAUAAAUAUUAACCAUUGAUAAGCUUCAACAAGAACUUAACACAACCCUCAGUCCUAAUUCAAAUUAUAAAUGUCAUUCAUAUAUUCAUUAUAAAUCAAUAAGAAAGGUUAUAAAUGUUUAGAAAUUCUAGAGGGAAGGAAGCUAUCGCCGGGCAAUCAACAACUAAAUUUGAUGUAAUUGUGGCACGAGAUGGAAUAUGGAAACUACACCAUAAUUUCAAAUGCCGCCAUAGACAUUGACUUAUCUACAAUAACAAUGAUCUAAUUAAAAUAAAAAUAGAGUUUAUGGGCAUUUAUUAAAAUAAAAAUAGGAGUGAAGUAAAAACAUUUAGAUUUUAAUAUAUGUACGGAAAAAUUUAUCUUUAAAAAUACUUUCUUAAUGUGUGUGUGCAUAUUGAAAUACUCAAACCAAUUUUGGUCAUAUAUAAUUAAACAAAAUUUAAAAUAUGAAAAAUAUAAUGUAGUUAUAGUGGAUAAGCAAUAAGUGAGCACAAUAUAAUUAAUCAAAUAUUAUGCUAUCAAAAGUUAAUUUUAGAAAUUCCAAAUCCAAUAGCUAACACAAUUCUUUAAAGAAAUAAUAUGGGGCAUUGGGCAAGAGUAAUGAAUGCUUAGUGGGUGCAUUUGAUUGAUAGAUAUAUAAAGGGCCGAAACUUGAGAUUAUAUUACUUUUACAAAUUUUAAUCCAAUCACAUAUUUACUGAAAACAAAAUGAGUUUGGAUAGUUUAUUUAGAACCCACAUUUUAAUAAGGCUUCAUUUGAUGUAGUUUUUCAAACAUUGAUUAUUUGAGUAAAGUUUCUUUAAUAGAGUUUUUAUCAAACAAAUUUUAUUUAUUUGGUUGUCGAUAAGAGUUUUCAUUAAAAAUUAUAAAAUUAUUUAAAUAAACAUGUUUCUUAAAAUUACAUUAUAAAAAUAAUUAAAUAAAGUUAUAAAAGUAAAAUAUAUUUUAGAUAUUUUAAUAUUUAAGAAAAAAUUUUCAACCUUUACUUUCGAAAGUUUAAAUCUUUAACUUUUAGUUGUAGAGACAAAAUAUCUUAUUUAAUCUUUAAAAAUUAUGCUAAAAACAAUCAAAUAACUACAAUGGUGGGAUAGCUGGGCUGGCUGGCCAGCUGUGUGCGCAUUGUAUAUGAUUGUUUUUCACUUUUUUAAUAUUUUCUUGUGCAUUAGUUCAUAUUAGAUUAGUGAGUUUGUGUGUGUGUUGUGUGUUUGCAGUUGAUUUGGUUAAGAUAUUUAGGUUAUAAUAAUUUUUUUUAAUAAAAAUUUGUUUUAUUUCGAAAUGUCAACAAUGCCCACAACUACCCAAAUGGCAACUAAGCGGAGUAAAAACGUAGAUGGUUUUUUUACAAAUAAAUAGAUUCUCAGCAUCUAUUUACAAUAAACCCAAACCUCGGGGAAGAUUUUUAAAAAUUACCCUAAAAUUAAAUAAGCAUUUAUUAAUAAUCACUUUGAUAUACUUAUCUAAUGACCAUAAGUGUUUAUUUAAUCUAAUAAGUUCUUAUUUAAUCUUAUGAGCUCUUUUUAAUUUUUUUUGUUGUUUGUUUUUUAGUAGAGUAUUUGAAAAUUAAAUAAAGUAUUUUGUCUCUACUAGAAAAAACUCAAAUUUUAGAUUUUUGUGAGUAAAUGUUUAAAUUUUUUGAAAAAUAUUAAAAUAUCUAAGAUAUCUUUUCUUUAUUUCAUAAUCUUAUUUCAUUUCUUCAUAACAUAACUUUAAAUAACUUACCUAUUAAAAUAAUUUCACAAUUUCUAAUAAAAACUCUAAUUGACAAUUAAGUAACAACUUUUUUUUUUGUAAAAACUCUAUUUAUAAAAAAUCUAAUAAAACUUUUAUUUAAAUAAAUUAUAUUUGAAAAGGUGUACUAAACCUACCUAACAUAAAAACAAAAAUUUUUACAUCCAGACAAUUAAGCUUAAAACAAUUUCAAAUGAAUUUUAGACUAAUCAAAGUACAAUACGUACCAAGUUUGGUAACUUAUUGACAUCUUCUCAUAUAACCUUCGAUCAAGUCGAUUCUCACUUGACGACUAUACUCGCAUGCAUCCGAUCACAAAUCUCACUCCAAUUGUCGUCUUUCUUCGCCGUUUUAGCGCAUCCUUCUUGAAUUUCCCGCAUUUCGUUCCCUCCUGUUACAAGUCUCCGGUCAGGUCAGUUCUCUUGACGAUUAAUUCGGUAAAUCUUGAAUCUCUUCUCUAUCCCUCUCGUUUUCUCGCGUCGUUUCACUUCAAUUUCUCGUGUCUCCUUUCAGUUUAAGUGAUUGAAUCAAUUCUAUCGCAGUCGUAAGAGAAAUUAAGUAAUGCUCUUGGAUUUAAAAUUUUUUUGCUUUCGACUUUAGAUCUCGAAAGUCAAACUCUGCUACGAAUCCAUAGAUUCUCAAUGUUCAUAAUCUUAUUUGUGUUUGACCAGGUAACCGGAUCGUGAAAUUCGUCGUUUUGUAUCAAUUCAAGCUUUCGCGAGCUCAUGGAAUCACCUGGUGAGUUGUGGUGAAACGUUAUCGUUUCAAUUUUCGCUUAAUUCUUUAUUGCAUAUUUUUUUCUCUAAUAUUUCAGUUUAAUUUAGAAAAGAAAGAGGACCCAAAAAGAGAGAGAGAGAGACAGACUCUACCAUACUCAAUUCCUUGCUCAUUCUGAUUUGGCCUGAAUGUUGGCAUUGACUAUUAUUUGUUUUCAUAUCGACUUAAUUCUCAUUUAGACAGUCUUUACUAACGGUCAAUAAUAGUUUAAGGAAAAUGAUAAUAGGGAUUCUGCAAUAAUCUUUCUGCAUUGUUCAAGUUAGUAGACAAUGAAUAGGAUGUUUAUGUUUACCUCAUUUUGAACCCUGAGGGCUUUGUUGAGUAGUUGAUUCAACAUAUCCAGCAACAGUUGAUGUGAGAACAGGAUGCCACUUAGAUAGGCUUAAACUGAUUUUGGAGGUUUGUAUUGGUUCUAUUGUACGUCUUGCUUACAAAUUUUUUAUUUUUUAUUUUUAAUUUUGUAUAAUAUGCUCUUUGUUGGUAAAUCUCAUUUGACUUAGAAGAGAUAGUUUUAUCCCAACAGUGGGAUAAAUCAUUGAGAUGCAUGGCAGUGUGAAUAUAGUAGACAAAAUCAUUGAGACACAUGGUGGUGUGAACAUAGUAAACUUUGUCAAACACAGCUAAGAUAAACAAAUUGUUUCAUUAGCCAUUAUCUUAUCUGCUGUGAUGAUUCAAAUUAAUGCUGUUUGGUAGGUUGCAAAAAACAAAAUGAGCUGACUGUUCGUAUUAUUUAGUCAGAUCUAUAGUAAUAAGUUGAAGUUCAUUGUCACAUGGGUUGGGAGUAGCGUGGGCUGUGAGUAGUAGAAUGGAUUUAUGGAGUUGAUACAAGUGCCCACAAUCUAUCAUGUCAUUCUAGGAUUAAAUGGAUUGCACAUUACUGUAAAGAUGGAGGUUAAAUUUAUAUAAUUCGGAUUGAUUGUAAAAUGGGACGCAGAGAUGAGUUAGAAAAAGAAUGACCUGUGUCCUUUUUGAGCUGUUUCUAAAUGUCCCUGGUGUGCUUCAUGCUUAACACGUGCCUUUCCAAAUAAUUUUGCUUAACCUGUGCUUGUCUGCUUCUUGUGCUAUUCUGUGCCUGGUCCUGAGCUGUGUUGGUAGAUUGACAUCCAGCUUGAACUUUUAGGUAUAUCUUUUGUACAUAAAUUCUGAAUACCCAUGGACUUAGCGUGAUAAAGUCAAGGAUCCAUUUAGCUGAGUCCUUCAAGUUUUGUUAGUAUGUCUUCGGAUUAUAAAUAUGUGACAAAAAUGAGGUGUAGAAUACAUUUAAAAAGAAAAGGAUAAAAAAAACAAAAGAAAUGAAAAGAGGUGUUUAGAAGUAAUAGUUAAACUAGAUACACUCCCACUAAUUUACAAUGCACACGACAUACAACUUCUAGUAAUCCUAGGACUUUGUUGACAGGGUGCUUCUAUUCCUCGUUGUGGAAAUGGGACAAACCUUUUGAUACCUUUACCAGGAUCAGUUAGUGCUGAGGAUAUGGCUAUUACUGGAGCUGGUGCACGACUUCAUGAUCAAGAUGCACCAACCCUUCCACUGUUGUAUGAUUUUGAAGAAUUAGAGGGAGAAUUGGAUUUUCUUACUCGUUUUGUGGCAGUUACCUUUUAUCCUGCUAUUUCUGGAACAAGCUCCAUGACUCUUGGUGAGGUAGAAAAUAUUUUCAUAAAAUGUUAAUUAAUGUGUCUACGCACUUUAUUCUUAAAUUAGUAUUUUAGACCAUGAGCUUUGUGGAGUGGGUUUGCUGUAACUGCUGCUGGUGACAACAUAAUUUUAAUAUUAUUACAGAUAGAGAUUCUUGGAGUUUCUCUUCCAUGGAGGGGGGUAUUCAAUAAUGAAGGCCCUGGUGCUAGAUUAAUUGAGCUUGGCAAAAAGUUUCAGAAGGAAACCGAUCCAUUUUUGUCAAAUUCAGUUACAAAUACAGUUCCGUUUUCCAAUGAAAAUGUGUCAACAUCAAUGCAAACAGAAGCUGCUUCCAAUCCUUGGGUUGACCUGUUGUCUGGAGGGGACACAUUUUCUGAUCCUCUUUCAGAGCCGUUUUCUAACCCUCUUUCUGAGCCGUUCUCUGAUCCUCUUUCUGAGCUGUUCUCUGAUCCUCUUUCUGAGCCAGUGACAAGAAAUGUUGCAUCUGGAGGGGCUGAUUUGCUUGAUUUCUUGGACCAGCCUAUAGUUGAAGAUCAUGGUGUGGAAACUUAUAAAAGAUCUUCAACACAGGAUGGCUGUUCUCUAGCUAGUGGUGCCCAGCAGUACAUAAGCUGUCUAAAAUCCCUUGCAGGGCCACGCGAGGAAUAGUGCUGCUCUCUUGUGUUUUUUGCAGCUCUACAUCUUAGCAACUUCAUCUUUUUAAAGGAGUAAAUUCUAGAAGUUCAACAAAUUUUGCUCUGUUAAAUGUAUAACUUAUUAAUCAGUGUCCUGUUAUUAUGGUUUGACACUACUGACAUAUUGUGUUGGUAUUUAUUUGUACUUCCCUUGGUUGAAUUAUUUGCUGUCUCCAUGCCAUUCGAUAUGGUGCUACUUGGUUUUUGAUCAUCCAUGACGCUAUAUAUAUGUAAAGGAUGAAUUGAUUGUUUUGGCUUGUAUUCUCACAUUUUAUGAUUGAUCGAUGGAAAGGUCUUCAUGUAUUAAAUUCAACCUCACAAGCGUAAGAUUGACAGAUUCUGGGCAAAUUUUCAGGAAAAGAAACUAGACUUCAUGGAAGCAAUGAAGCUUGAAAUUGAACGUCUGCAGCUGAAUCUUUCUGCAGCUGAAAGGGAUAGAGCUUUAUUGUCAAUUGGAACUGAUCCUGCCUCUAUAAAUCCAAAUGUAUUGCUUGAUGAAUCUUACAUGGGAAGACUGUGUCGAGUAGCAACCACUCUUGCAUUACUUGGCCAAACUUCCCUAGAAGACAAAAUUGUUGGUGCAAUUGGCCUUGAGAAUAGUGAUGAUAGUGUUUUAGACUUCUGGAAUAUUACUAGAAUCGGAGAGAGUUGUUCUGGUGGCUGGUGGCGGGUGCAAGGUUCGUGCAGAAACUAAGGUGCCUGCUCUUGCUUCCUCAACUGCAACAUCUGUUGGAGCUUCACAAUCCCCUUUGUUGUGUUCUCAAUGUGAAAGAAAAGUUUGCAAAGUUUGUUGUGCAGGAAGAGGAGCUCUACUGUUUUCAAAUUAUAAAUCAAGGGAUGUGACCAACUACAAUGGCUUCUCAAGUCAGAGUGGAUCAAGCCAUGGAAGCCAAGUUGAUGUAUCUACCAGUCGUUCACUAACACUGGAUGGCGUUAUCUGUAAACACUGCUGCCAUGCGAUUGUGCUUGAUGCAUUGAUGUUGGACUAUGUUAGGGUCUUGAUUAGGUUGCGAAGAAGUUCCCGUGCAGACAACGCAGCAUACAAUGCUUUGAAUGAGGUUGUUGGAUCCUGCUUAAAGGAUAGUCUUUCUGAAAGGAUUCAGUCUUCCGAUAACGUGCAAGCUGCUGAAGUCCUUCACCAGUUAUGUGGUGGACAGGAAUCUCUUGCUGAAUUUCCAUUUGUUAGCGUUUUGCACUCGGUAUGUUCUUGGUUUGUAUUCAGUUCUCAUCAUGUUAUGUUUUCCUUUUAAAUUUCUUUUCUUGAUUAAAAUUUUUAGAAAUAUGUUUUAGUAUUUGUUCUUAUGAUAUAUGCCCAGAACAUUCAUCCCACUUAUCCAUGAGAAUCCUUGUCUGGUUUGAUUUUCAAUUGAGACAUUUUUGGGAACCCUGAGCAGGUUCCAUAUGCUAAUAAUCUUUGAGGUAAGGUGUUGUAGGAUGCCUUGAGAAGCUAAAAACCUAUUACAAGGAAAAGCUCUUGCAUUGUUUUGUGCAAUCUGUGUGCUAGCAAGUCAUGUCUCUAAUAAUUUCAUAGUUCGCUUGAUUGGAAUUUUUUAUCUUGAUAUGGAUUGUUUAUUCUAGAUUCCUUGGUGCCACUGUAGGUUGAAACAGCAAAAGAUUCAGCACCGAUUUUGUCACUGCUUGCUCCAUUAAAUUCUGGAUCAAGGCACUCAUAUUGGAGAGCUCCACCUAGUACUACUUCUGUUGAAUUUGUUAUUGUUCUCGGUUCUGUUUCUGAUGUCAGUGGGGUUAUCUUGCUUGUUAGUCCUUGUGGCUAUUCUGUGGCUGACACUCCGAUGGUAAGUGCCAUAUUUAUUCCCUUAUUUCCUUGUUGUUCAAUAAAUUUGGUGAUAAGCCAAGUGGCCUUAAUAAUGAAGCCCAGUACCAGGGGUGGUGGGUAAUCGAUAUUCAACUUGUGAAUAUUCCUAAGCAAACACUGAAUCAACAUAUACCUCGGCAAAAGUUCUCCAUGCUAUUAUAACAAAAGUCAUAUUUUGAAAUGAUUAAAAGAGUCCCUGUGUAGUGCCAUUUCCAAAGAAAUUGCAGCUGGGGGUUUAGUUUCAUGUAGGUUAGUUUCCGAUAAUAAACUUUCCAUUUCAUUAAUUGCUGAUGAAAUAACCAAGUAAGAACAGUUUCGUUGCUCGUCAUUUAUGUAUAUUUUGGUAAACUGUAAUUUUAAAUUCUCAACGAUCUUCCCUUUGUAGGUAAGAAGAUGGUCCACUCACUUGAUAUUUAUGAUUGUAGAUCAGGUUUCUAUUGGUUUGCCUUUAUCAUUCGGAACCCAAGUUUGAUAUUAACAGAGAUCACGUCAAUAAUAUCCUAUUUGGGUAGAUGUGGGUGAGGAUUUAAAAUCAAAUUUGAAAUUGAGGGGAAAGAAGAGAAAAGGAACCACAAUAAUUAAACAAAAUAUUAGGAACUAUUCUGAUGAGUUUUAAUCUCGAGAGGAACAAUUUUCAAAUGCAAAUUUAACUGCUAGAGAAAUUGUAGCUUUUUGUCAUUAGUUAAGAGGAAAGAGAAUAAGAACUAUCCGGCCCUUUCCUUCAUGAAUGUGUGUUGAGGUUGCUGUAUUAUUUAGUCAGUAUUUGUAAUUUUCUUCCCUGCAGUGCUCUCUGCCUCCUGAAUUUGCUACUGAGUCCAUAUUUUUCUUUGAGCUGUUGCUUCCUAUUGCUGUUACAGGUACAAAUCUGGGCAAGCAAUAAGAUACACCGGGAGGAAAGGUCAUCAAUGGGAAAAUGGGAUGUCCAAUCCCUCAUCACAUCUUCUUCAGAUUUGUAUGGUCCAGAAAAGUCCGCUAGUGUUGAAAACUUACCUAGGCAUGUAAAAUUUACUUUUAAGAAUCCUGUUAGGUGCCUCAUUGUUCGGAUCACAUUACGUCUUCAGAGACCUGGUUCGGCUUCAGUUAAUUUCGGGAAGGACUUCAGUCUUUUGUCUCUUGAUGAAGAUGAAAACCCCUUUGCACAAGUAGACAGACGUGCUUCAUUUGGAGGAGCAGUUGAAAAUGAACCAUGUAUUCAUGCCAAAAGAAUUCUUGUAGUCGGAAGCCCAGUAAAAAGGGAGGGGCUUACCUCAUCACAGAGCUCUGAGCAGCUAAGUAUUAGAAACUGGUUGGAUAGAGCUCCACAAAUGAGUAGAUUCAAGGUAUUAGUUGCUUUCACUCUUUGUUCAUUCAUAAUUCCAGCUUUCUGCUUCACUGAUAAACCUCUUUUUUCUCUUAAGGUCCCAAUUGAGGCCGAGAGAUUGAUGGACUACGAUCUCGUCUUGGAACAGUAUUUACCUCCAGCGUCACCUUUGCUUGCCGGAUUCCGUCUAGACGCUUUCAGUGCAAUAAAACCUAGGGUUACCCAUUCACCUUCCUCAGAUUCAGAUAUCUGGGACAAAUCAGUAACAUUUUUAGACGACAGGUACAUCUCUCAAGCUGUGUUGUAUUUACAAGUAUCCGCACUCCAGGAACCACAUAACAUGGUAACUAUUGCGGAAUAUCGACUGCCGGAGGCUAGAGCCGGAACACCAAUGUACUUUGAUUUCCCACGACCGAUACAGUCCCGACGAGUUUCAUUCAAGCUUCUUGGAGAUGUUACAGCAUUUGCAGAUGAACCUUCAGAACAAGAUGAUUCAGGAUUGAGAGCUCCGCUUGUGGCUACAGGUUUGUCUUUGUCAAACAGAAUCAAGUUAUAUUAUUAUUGUGAUCCUUAUGAGCUUGGAAAAUGGGCAA
rnacentral:lncRNA from 1 species